GGAAGCCUAUAUUUGUGGUCUUAUUCCUAACCUGGCACAACUACGGGAUAUGCCUGGAGCCUUUGUUCAAAUGUAUUGUCGCAUAGCUGCACACAAAUUCUUCUUCUUUUGAGAUCCUCAUAGAUGAGGGAAAACCUGCGCUUCUUAGCAAUUGCCUCCAGGAAUUAAUGGAACUACAUCAGGAAAGUGAGGAAGAAGUCACUGACACUGAGCAAGCCGGAAAUUGGUUUUCCUUGACAUCUUACUACACUUGCAAAUCACGGAAGAGUUUGCAAAAGACGGGAAAAAGGUAGACGAGGAAAGUGGCUUAAAUGGAUAAGAAUUUUGAAUACUGCUGCGGCCUAACGGGAUUACCACUCCGAAGCUGUAAACAUCAACCUUUGCAUUGAUAUUUGUUGUCUGCAAUUUAAAUGCUAACUUUGUGUUAAAAGAGAUACUCUGAUUCCAAAUAUGGUUGAAAUUGAUAAGGGGAUAAGAAUAUGUUUCGAGGCAUUUUCACCAGGGAUGAGGUAUUCGAAAGAU